CCCCACUUCUCUUUUCAGGAGCAAAGCAGCAGAAAUCUCUGACCUGAUUGGCUCGGAUCAGAAAAUCUCCAUGUGAAAGGGGCAGAUCAGCCGCAGACCUCCAGCCUUCCUCGCUGCUUUUUUCCCCAUCAGCAUCCGAUGGGGCUAUGUGUUCCUUAAUCUAUCUUGGGGGCACCCUGGAAGCACAUCUGGGCGAUGGCGUGUUCAGCACCACGGACAGCAUUACCCUCCCUUCCGCACUCCUUAAAGCCACUGGUCUAUUGCAGAACUCUAUUUGGACUGAACUGAGAUGCCAGCUGUGUAGAGUAUUUGAGGACUGUUUCCACAGGGCGGUGGAAGCACACAAAGGGCAUUUCUCUUUGAGAUCACAUGUCUGUCUUUGGGAAGCCACUCCAGUGAUUCCUAAGAGUCCACUGCAGAGACAGGUAAGGAACACACCUGUAUGUUGACCACAAGAACCAGCUUGCAAAUGCUUUGCCAUUUUACAGGAAAAAUAAAAAGAUAAUUUGAA